rnacentral:rRNA from 1 species
UGGGGAAUAUUUGACAAUGGGCGCAAGCCUGAUCCAGCCAUGCCGCGUGAGUGAUGAAGGCCCUAGGGUUGUAAAGCUCUUUCACCGGUGAAGAUAAUGACGGUAACCGGAGAAGAAGCCCCGGCUAACUUCGUGCCAGCAGCCGCGGUAAUACGAAGGGGGCUAGCGUUGUUCGGAUUUACUGGGCGUAAAGCGCACGUAGGCGGACUAUUAAGUCAGGGGUGAAAUCCCGGGGCUCAACCCCGGAACUGCCUUUGAUACUGGUAGUCUUGAGUUCGAGAGAGGUGAGGGGAAUUCCGAGUGUAGAGGUGAAAUUCGUAGAUAUUGGGGGGAACACCAGUGGCGAAGGCGGCUCACUGGCUGGAUACUGACGCUGGGGUGCGAAAGCGUGGGGAGCAAACAGG